CCCAUAUCCUGUUGCCAGUCUUCCAAUGUCCAAAGCCAGAGCCCCCUUAGCAAAGUAAAUGGAAAGCCAGCCUGCAACACAGAAGGCUGAAGACACUCUCAUUGCCCCUUUCCGACCAAUAAAAUCAGCAAUUGGCCCACUUGUGAUUGCACCAAUCAUUGCACCAAAUGUCAAUAUGGAACCAAACAUUGAAUACUCUGCUAGAGACAGGGAGAGAUCAUCUGUUAUAGCAUCUUGAGUAGGUGAGGAAUAUCCUGCACAGCAUCCAAAUUCAAAAGAACCACACACGGCAACGAAAGUGCUGAGGUAA
rnacentral:misc_RNA from 1 species